rnacentral:rRNA from 1 species
UGGGGAAUAUUGGACAAUGGGCGAAAGCCUGAUCCAGCCAUGCCGCGUGUGUGAAGAAGGUCUUCGGAUUGUAAAGCACUUUAAGUUGGGAGGAAGGGCAGUAAGCGAAUACCUUGCUGUUUUGACGUUACCGACAGAAUAAGCACCGGCUAACUCUGUGCCAGCAGCCGCGGUAAUACAGAGGGUGCAAGCGUUAAUCGGAAUUACUGGGCGUAAAGCGCGCGUAGGUGGUUCGUUAAGUUGAAUGUGAAAGCCCCGGGCUCAACCUGGGAACUGCAUCCAGAACUUGCGAGCUAGAGUAGGGCAGAGGGUGGUGGAAUUUCCUGUGUAGCGGUGAAAUGCGUAGAUAUAGGAAGGAACACCAGUGGCGAAGGCGACCACCUGUGCUCAUACUGAAACUGAGGUGCGAAAGCGUGGGGAGCAAACAGG